AUGGAUGUCAAAUUAAGCACUGUAAUAUGUUUUAUUUUCACAGUUGUGCAGGGAAGUUAUGCUAUCAACCUAUGAGUUAUUUUAGAAUUCUGGUAGUGAAUCAAUUUACCAUCUACAAUAUAUAAAAGGGCUGGAAGCUAAUUUUAAGUUCUUUAAAUUUAUGAAGGACAUAGUAGAGGUUUUUUUUUUUGUGGGGGGGGGGUGCACGUGGGGGUUAGUAGACAAUAAAUAAAUUGAGUGUUCAUAUAAAAUGCCUAAAAAAUGCAUAAUCUAUAUAGGCUUAUUUCAGUUAAGAGCCAAUGGAGUUGAUAAAAAUAUAGUCAUUGAAUUUGGUGUAGUUUAUUAAAUUUUAUUACAUGUAUCUUACCUUUGAAGAAGAGGCAACAGUGAUGAUAGUCUUUAAUAUGCUAUAUGUAAAUUUCUAAUUAGGAACUUACUACGACAUACUUGGACCUAUUCAGGCACCAAGGGUAAGAGAACUAAUUCUAAGGAAGCUCUUGUAUUUGAAUAAUUUUCUUUUCCAAUUAAACCUUGCAUGCAAUUGUCUAUUGAAUUAAGGCUACAAUAUACAAGC
rnacentral:lncRNA from 1 species